rnacentral:rRNA from 1 species
UACGAAGGGGGCUAGCGUUGUUCGGAAUUACUGGGCGUAAAGCGCACGUAGGCGGGUAUUUAAGUCAGGGGUGAAAUCCCAGAGCUCAACUCUGGAACUGCCUUUGAUACUGGGUACCUAGAGUAUGGAAGAGGUGAGUGGAAUUCCGAGUGCAGAGGUGAAAUUCGUAGAUAUUCGGAGGAACACCAGUGGCGAAGGCGGCUCACUGGUCCAUUACUGACGCUGAGGUGCGAAAGCGUGGGGAGCAAACAGG